AUGGUGACAGCUUCCUCCUGCCUGACCCCUAGGCCUUUGCCCAGGAGACCCUGCGGACGCUGUGCCUGGCCUACAGGGAGGUACCUGAGGACAUUUACGAGGAGUGGCAGCCACGCCACCAGGAGGCCAGCCUCCUGCUGCAUAACCGGGCACAGGCCCUGCAGCAGGUGUACAGUGAAAUGGAACAGAACCUCAAGGUGGGUGGGUGCAUGGCGGGGGCACCCAAGGGGGCCCUGGGACUCUCCUGCCCCUGCCAGGAAGCUGGGCAUCUGCUCAGUGUCUUCCCUGUCCUGCCUGCCCCCCACCAGCUCCUGGGAGCCACAGCGAUCGAGGACAGACUCCAGGACGGCGUCCCUGACACCAUCAAGUGUCUCAGGAAGAGCAACAUCAAAAUAUGGGUGCUCACCGGGGACAAGCAGGAGACGGCUGUGAACAUCGGCUUCGCCUGCGAGCUGCUGUCAGAGAACACGGUCAUUCUGGAGGAGAAGGAGAUCACGUAAGAAAUGGGGGCUGGGGGUGAGCGAGGGGGGUGGGGAGGUGAGGACAAGGGGCACCCAGGUGCAUGCC
rnacentral:lncRNA from 13 species